rnacentral:rRNA from 1 species
UACACUCCUGCGGGAGGCAGCAGUGGGGAAUAUUGGACAAUGGGCGCAAGCCUGAUCCAGCCAUGCCGCGUGAGUGAUGAAGGCCCUAGGGUUGUAAAGCUCUUUUGUGCGGGAAGAUAAUGACGGUACCGCAAGAAUAAGCCCCGGCUAACUUCGUGCCAGCAGCCGCGGUAAUACGAAGGGGGCUAGCGUUGCUCGGAAUCACUGGGCGUAAAGGGUGCGUAGGCGGGUCUUUAAGUCAGGGGUGAAAUCCUGGAGCUCAACUCCAGAACUGCCUUUGAUACUGAAGAUCUUGAGUUCGGGAGAGGUGAGUGGAACUGCGAGUGUAGAGGUGAAAUUCGUAGAUAUUCGCAAGAACACCAGUGGCGAAGGCGGCUCACUGGCCCGAUACUGACGCUGAGGCACGAAAGCGUGGGGAGCAAACAGGAUUAGAUACCCCGGUAGUCCCA